GCACCUCAGCUCGGGAUGGGCGGCUCUGCCUGGGAGGUGACAAGACGUGUACCGCGACACAAGCUGAGCUGGAUCAAGGGAGACAUAGCGAGGGGAGCAGGGGGGAGACAACCUGGACAGGCCACCAGGCCAUCACAGUCGUAUCCGGCC